UACGUAGGGUGCAAGCGUUACUCGGAAUUACUGGGCGUAAAGCGUGCGCAGGCGGUUGUGCAAGUCAGAUGUGAAAUCCCCGGGCUUAACCUGGGAACUGCAUUUGUGACUGCACGGCUAGAGUACGGCAGAGGGGGAUGGAAUUCCGCGUGUAGCAGUGAAAUGCGUAGAUAUGCGGAGGAACACCAAUGGCGAAGGCAGUCCCCUGGGCCUGUACUGACGCUCAUGCACGAAAGCGCGGGGAGCAAACAGG
rnacentral:rRNA from 1 species